rnacentral:ncRNA from 1 species
CUUAUCAAGAGUGGCGGAGGGAACGGCCCGAUGAAGCCACGGCAACCUGCCCCAGCGGGGGGCAAGGUGCCAAUUCCGGCGGAAACGCAAGAUGA